CUGAACCUUCGGGGAACGAUAACGGCGUCGAGCGGCGGAAAGGUGAGUAAUGCCUAGGAAAUUGCCCUGAUGUGGGGGAUAACCAUUGGAAACGAUGGCUAAUACCGCAUAAUGCCUACGGGCCAAAGAGGGGGACCUUCGGGCCUCUCGCGUCAGGAUAUGCCUAGGUGGGAUUAGCUAGUUGGUGAGGUAAGGGCUCACCAAGGCGACGAUCCCUAGCUGGUCUGAGAGGAUGAUCAGCCACACUGGAACUGAGACACGGUCCAGACUCCUACGGGAGGCAGCAGUGGGGAAUAUUGCACAAUGGGCGCAAGCCUGAUGCAGCCAUGCCGCGUGUGUGAAGAAGGCCUUCGGGUUGUAAAGCACUUUCAGUCGUGAGGAAGGUAGUGUAGUUAAUAGCUGCAUUAUUUGACGUUAGCGACAGAAGAAGCACCGGCUAACUCCGUGCCAGCAGCCGCGGUAAUACGGAGGGUGCGAGCGUUAAUCGGAAUUACUGGGCGUAAAGCGCAUGCAGGUGGUUUGUUAAGUCAGAUGUGAAAGCCCGGGGCUCAACUCGGAAUGCAUUUGAAACUGGCAGACUAGAGUACUGUAGAGGGGGGAGAAUUUCGGUGUAGCGGUGAAAGCGUAGAGAUCUGAAGGAAUACCGGUGGCGAAGGCGGCCCCCUGGACA
rnacentral:rRNA from 1 species